rnacentral:misc_RNA from 1 species
GUUCCGCAAUAUUCGACUGAUUCGUCGCUUUACAUCACACUACAGUUGACUAGUUGUGCGAGCUACGAGUGGUCUAGGACAGUUCUGACACGGUGUGUAGGCUUACGUCGUAGCUACAUAAUUGCGACAGUGGCAAAUGAUUUAUGAUCAAUGAUCGCAACACGCAGUACUGUAUGAAUACACAAAAUGCAGAAUAGUUAUGAUGAAAAAUCCAGUGGCGAUGCCACUGUCACAACAGUGCCACAUCAACGUAUGCAUGAAGCAGAAAAUAAAAAAGCCACUGAGAGUACCUCCUUAUCUCCAAAUAACAAUCAAACCUAUUUUGCAGAAGAAAGGGUACCAGUGCCAGAAACGGCAAGUACAGGGUUUAGUUUUAGGAAAUUAUGGGCUUUCACGGGACCUGGUUUCUUAAUGUCUAUAGCUUAUCUAGACCCUGGUAACAUAGAAUCAGAUUUACAAUCUGGAGUGGUAGCAAGAUAUAAGUUAUUAUGGGUGUUACUAAGUGCCACACUCUUAGGUCUUGUUAUGCAAAGACUAAGUGCACGUCUUGGUGUAGUAACUGGUCUACAUCUAGCAGAGAUGUGUUACAGACAAUAUAAAAAAGUACCUAGAUUUAUUUUGUGGAUAAUGAUAGAAAUAGCUAUUAUUGGUAGUGAUAUGCAAGAAGUAAUAGGAACGGCUAUUGCCCUUUAUCUCUUAUCUAAUAAGGUGAUUCCUAUAUGGGGUGGCGUACUGAUUACAGUAGUUGAUACAUUUACAUUUUUAUUCUUAGAUAAAUAUGGUUUGCGGAAAUUAGAGCUUUUUUUUGGUUUCCUCAUUACCGUCAUGGGUAUCACCUUUGGUUACGAGUACAUUGUUUCCGAGCCUCCUCAAGUAGAUGUUAUAACUGGUAUGUUUGUCCCAUGGUACAAUGGGAUGAAUUACGAUAACAAGGUAUUACUUCAAGCUGUAGGAAUCGUCGGUGCGGUCAUUAUGCCGCACAAUUUGUAUCUUCACAGUGCCUUAGUCAAAUCUAGAGAUAUCGAUCGAAGACAACCCGCAAAAAUCAGAGAUGCCAAUAUGUAUUAUUUCAUUGAGGCAUGCUUGGCAUUGUUUGUUUCAUUUAUAAUUAAUGUAUUUGUAGUGGCUGUAUUUGCUCAUGGCCUUUUUGACAAAACAAACAAUGACGUUUACCAAAUUUGCGAGACGAAUAAUUAUACCAUCGGCAUGAAUACUUUUGCUAGAAAUAAUGAAACAAUAGAUGCUGAUCUUUAUAAAGGAGGGAUCUUCCUUGGUUGUUCCUUUGGCGCGGCCGCGAUGUACAUAUGGGCUGUUGGUAUUUUAGCCGCCGGUCAGUCGUCUACAAUGACGGGCACCUAUGCCGGUCAGUUCGCAAUGGAAGGAUUCCUGAAUCUGCAGUGGGCUCGUUGGAAACGAGUUCUCUUCACUCGAACGAUUGCUAUAAUUCCUACAUUCUUAGUAGCGUUUUUCGCCGAUAUGGAUAAUUUGAGUGGCAUGAACGAUAUUUUGAACGCUAUAAUGAGCUUGCAAUUACCCUUUGCCACUUUACCUACAAUUGCCUUCACAAGUAGUGUUCAGAUUAUGGGUGAAUUCCGAAAUGGAAUAGUGAACAAGAUUGUGUCGACCGCACUAUCAAUUCUAGUUAUAACAAUAAAUAUAUAUUUUGUGAUACAAACUGUUCACGAAGAUUUGCCACAACAUUGGGCUGUAUUUUUAGGCAUGUCUGUAUAUGCAAUUUUAUAUCUUAUUUUCUGCGCCUAUUUAGCUAUUCAUAUGGCUGUGAGCAUGGGUGCAACUUCUCUUGGUAAUCAUUGGUUUGUUACUAAAUAUAUUGGUACACCCGUGAGCCCUACGCUUGGUCUAUCCAAUCCUGCUGUUUAUGCCAGUUUUCACAAUACAUCGGAAACAUCGUUAAACAUUUAGUCGGAUAAUGCAAUUGAAUAUGUGAGACAAUAUGCGACUCUUGUAUUCCAUAUGUGAAUAUAAUGUCAUGUUGGAAAGGUGCUUGUUAAUAUCUCGUGACGUCAGCAUGAUGCCCCAUGAACAAAUCCAGCAUUCACUAUUCAAGAAAGUUUGGGUGGCAGUUUUACAUCAAUACCAGAAUACUAAUUUAUAAAUGCAACUAUAUCUACAGUAAAAUUAUAUAUAAGUGAUGUCUUCAAUUCAUAAGGAGGUAAUUUUUACUGCCUUGAAGAAUUAUUAACAUUCCAUUAUUAAAAUACAUACAUUUAUUUUAAAUAGAAUAACUUGCCUGUUACAUCAAGGAAUACAUAUAGGAAACAUACAUUAUCACAUAAAAUAAUUUACACAGUAAUUAAUACAGACGAAUGUGGCAUAUGCAUAUCGGAAUACUUGACAAUCAAAUUGUAUUCAUGUAUUUUUG